GAAAGCUAUCCGUCGCUUUGCUUGCAGCCAGGGCUAACUGUCAGAUGGCCGAUGGCUGGCUGGUAUCCUCUCCUUGCUUUUCCCUAUAUCUAGCAUACUGCAGUAAGCAGGGAUGUGAUGUAAAAUAAAAGGGGAGGGGGGAGGAGUGUGCGGGAGGGGGGAGGGAGGUGGGGAAGGGGAGAGACACCAGCCAUGCUUGCAGACAUUCCCAAUAAUACCCUCACAGCGCUUUUUUUGUAAGGCAUCCGUAGGGCCACCAAUUGAAUUGAAUGGAAUUGAAUAGAAUUGGUCCUCAUUGUGCUGAAUGGCCCUCUGCCGUUCCACCGUGCCUCGCCAUUUCUGCUUGUGACUGACAGGUUCAUAUUGAUGUGGCCUUGAACCAGGCCCCAGGCAGCCCUUCAGACAUGAUGGAAUUACCCAGCAUCCCCAGCCAGCCUGAUUGUGAGGGUCAAGUUAAGGAAUGACACCCCCAUAUGGGAGGGAUGCCACGCACAGAAGAUUGUGGAAGUCCCGGGAGUCGUGCUAGCAGGAUAUCAUCUCAUCAAAGCAAAAUUAAUGUCACAGUGAAG